rnacentral:lncRNA from 1 species
CUCCACUUCUGUUCCUCCCCGCCCUGGUGCUGCUCCGGGUCACAUACUCGUCCUGAGCCGGCUUCAGCCUCUCCGCGCAGAAGUCUCCCGGAGCCGACUUCUGAGAGUCGAGUACUCCUAUGUGAAGACUACCAAGCUCGUGUUCAAGGGAACCAAGGCGAAGAGGCGAGAUGGAAAGAAAGUAUCAAGGAGUGAGCUGAAGCCACUGCCCUUGAGAACCCUCUCGAGGAGUCUGGGCUCAUGAGGAUGCCAGAAUAAGUGGCAGGUAUAUCCUGAAUGAAUGUGAGAUUUUUACUCUGUGAAUUUCCUGUGAGGAGUGUAAGAAGAAAAAGAACAAAGAUAAGAAAAGAAAAAGAGAAGAAGAUGAAGAAACCCAGCUUGAUAUGUUGGAAUCUGGUGGACAGUAACAAACUUUGGUGAAAUUUCAGGAACCAUAGCCAUUGAAAUGGAUGAGGGAACCUAUAUACAUGCACUCGAUAAUGGUCUUUUUACCCUGGGAGCUCCACACAAAGAAGUUGAUGAGGGCCCUAGUCCUCCAGAGCAGUUUUCGGCUGUCAAAUUAUCUGAUUCCAGAAUCACCCUGAAAUCUGGCUAUGGAAAAUAUCUUGGUAUAAAUUCAGAUGAACUUGUUGUUGGGCGUUCAGAUGCAAUUGGACCAAGAGAACAAUGGGAACCAGUCUUUAAAAUUGGGAAAAUGGCUUUGUCGACCUCAAAUAGCUGCUUUAUUAGAUACAGUGAAGCAGAGGACAUAGAAGCAAAAAGUAAAACAGCAGGAGAAGAAGAAAUGAUCAAGAGUCUCAGUCAUAGCCUGCCUUCAUCUCUGAAGGGACCAGGCGACCCACGGAGUGCCUCGGCAGCCUUGUUAUUGCAUGCAAUCUUCACAGACAAGAUCUCACUGCAACCAGGUUUCUACAGGAGCACAGGUGUGACAUUAUAGUGAUGACAUCAUUCUCAGAGAAAAUUCAUUUUACGCACUAAGGACACACAGAUACAAGGAGGCUUACACAAAGGGAAUGGACCUUUCCACAACACAGAUGUGCAAGGCCCUGCCACUUUGCUUCAAUUCCUGAAAAUUCCUUGGUAAACAUGGAGCUACUCUAUUCCUGACACUUUCAAGAAAUAGUUAUUGAUCCUCUCAGCGUCCACAAUGUUAAUACAAGCCCAACAUUCUUUAAUUUGUGUUUUGUUUUUUGGAGGCACAGUCUUGCUCUGUCACCCAGGCUGGUAUGAAGUGGCACGAUUUCAGCUCACUGCAGCCUCGACCUCCUGAGCUCUAGCAAUUCUCCCAUCUCGGCCUUCCAAGUAGCUAGGACUGCAGGUGUGUGCCACCACACUCAGCUAAUUUUGUUUAUUUUUUUGUAGAGAAAACGUCUCGCUAUGUUACCCAGACUGGUCUCAAACUCCUGGGCUGAAGCGAUCCUCUUACCUCGGCCUCCCAAAGUUCUGGGAUUACAGGUGUCAGCCACUGUUCCCAGCCCUUUAAUUCUUUACUUGGGGUUCAGGUGACAACAUAUUUCUUAUUUACAAAUCUUACUUAAUCUCACUGAUGCUUUCUGUCAUUGGCUAACUGAUCCACCUUGAAUGAAGCCUCCUCCAACAAGUCUGGAAUCUGUCCAAAUCUAAAUUAACAGGUGCGCCUAUGAAUUCCCUCAGAGAACACACUGUGGAUGCUUUAGCAACCUCUUACCAUGCCUCCUGAAGUAUCUGGAUUGCAUAUGGUGGCCAUAAGUAGUCCAUGGGCUUCUGAUGUAAAAAACAAACCUGCCCCUUUUCACUGUGUUCUGUACAGCAUCAGGGCAGUUAUUGCUGACCACAUACUGGACCCUCUGGAAACAGAGGGCUCUGCAUCCAUGUCCACGAGCCUUCAUGCCCAUCUGGCCAUCAGGCCUUGGGAAGCAGCACCCCACAGCCUUGGCACAGCUACAGAGACCUCCUUGCCUCAGGAUGGAGUCAAACCUGGACCCCCUGCCAUUCUCAUCUGCAGGAAACACUGGCCUCCUUCAUCCUCAGGCUGUGUUGCUGGAAGUCACCCAUCUCCGAGGCCCCUUGGGAUCGACUGAGUGACCAGCAGUGAAGUUCAUCCACCUUCUGAAUGGAUGCCAUCAUCUGAAGUGAUGGAGCUCAGUGGGAUGUUGUUGCGGUCUUCCCUCCCUUAGCCAGGAUGUCCCUGAUAAAGGAUGACACCCAAGCCUCAGCACAACUGGCCAAACUUGAGGUGGUCAUCUCAGCACUGAUGCUGGGCCAACAAUUAGCCCCAUUUGUACAUUUUUACAAAUUUUUGGCAAUUGCCAAGAAUUAUCCACCUUCCCUCCCCAUUGAAUUAAAGAAACUUCUUGCCUCAUGG